UAAUACAGAGGGUGCAAGCGUUAAUCGAAAUUACUGGGCGUAAAGGGUGCGUAGGUGGUUUGAUAAGUUAGAUGUGAAAUUCCUGGGCUCAACCUGGGGACUGCGUCUGAUACUGUUGAGCUAGAGUUCUGUAGAGGAAGGUGGAAUUUCCGGAGUAGCGGUGAAAUGCGUAGAUAUCGGAAGGAACAUCGGUGGCGAAGGCGGCCUUCUGGACAGGAACUGACACUGAGGCACGAAAGCGUGGGGAGCAAACAGG
rnacentral:rRNA from 1 species